rnacentral:SRP_RNA from 1 species
GCCGAGCUAAGUUGCGAUAGCUUGUAACUCAUGUGAUGGCGUAAGGGUGAUUGAACUUAGUCAUGGCUACGCUCAGUUGGACUGGGGGUUGCUCUAUGCUGCCUGCCCACUUCAAGCCAGUAUUUGGUCAAUGGAAUUUGGGCGAAAGCUUGGAUUUCUUUGAUCCUAAAUCGAAGGGUAAUGCGUGAGGCUGGUUUCACAGAGCAGCGACAACCUUCCACUCUUGGCAGUGGAGGGAUAACGGGUUGCCUGCACCUUCGGCCCAUAAUCAACUGGGUGUGCCAAGCAUAUGAACCAUCAUUUUU